rnacentral:rRNA from 1 species
GACGAACGCUGGCGGCGUGCUUAACACAUGCAAGUCGUACGGUAAGGCCCUUUCGGGGGUACACGAGUGGCGAACGGGUGAGUAACACGUGAGUAACCUGCCCACAACUUUGGGAUAACGCUAGGAAACUGGUGCUAAUACUGGAUAUGUGCUCCUGCUGCAUGGUGGGGGUUGGAAAGCUCCGGCGGUUGUGGAUGGACUCGCGGCCUAUCAGCUUGUUGGUGGGGUAGUGGCCUACCAAGGCGGCGACGGGUAGCCGGCCUGAGAGGGUGACCGGCCACAAUGGGACUGAGAUACGGCCCAGACUCCUACGGGGGGCAGCAGUGGGGAAUAUUGCACAAUGGGCGCAAGCCUGAUGCAGCAACGCCGCGUGCGGGAUGACGGCCUUCGGGUUGUAAACCGCUUUCAGCAGGGACGAAGCUUUUUGUGACGGUACCUGCAGAAGAAGCACCGGCUAACUACGUG